ensembl:lncRNA
AAAAAAUAUAAUCAAAAAAUAGAAAUAAACAAAACAUUAAAAUGUUUACCACUAUUAUUACAUUUCAUAUUUUAAAUGAAUUGGUGUACUUCUGCUUUCAAAAUAAAUAAAUAAAAAAUAAAUAAAUAAAUAAAUAANUAUAUAUAUAUAUAUAUAUAUAUAUAUAUAUAUAUAUAUAUAGGAUCCACACAUGUCAUAACAUGAGAUUAUAUCUGGCUGGUUUGUGUUUGAAAAGGGCGCCCUCUAGCUUUCUGGAGGAAUCGAACAAUUCUGAAGAGAGUGUUUGACCGCCACGUUCAUCGUGUCGUAUCAUUUAGUAGAAAUUAACAUGAAGAGUAACUCGUUUUAAAAUCAAAAUAAAUAAAAUGGACGUAAUUUACUGAAGCCUGGUCCUGUCAGAACAGGAGUUAAUAGCUUCACUCUGCUUCGAUCCCUGUCCCAGCCAACUGGCUACUCUGAACGACCUGGUCAGAUGCCUGUUCGAUCCAGUGAGUGUGGGCCGAAAGCCCUUGUGGUUUCUCAGUAAAACUAUAAAAACACUGUCGCAAACGGAUGGUUCAUCUUCAGGGCUUCAGACCAACAUAGAGAAAGCUAAAGUAACUGUUAAGUUAAAAAUAUGGUGGACCAUCAGUUUUUUCUUGGAAUCAAACAUAUGGGCUGCGUCUGAAAUCGCAUAUAAGUUGCAGCAGUGUUCAGCCAGCCAACAUUAAACAGCCUCCAUCAAGAUGGCCACAGAGGAAUUCACGAUUACGCAUCCUACAUGGGGGGAAACAGUAAUACACAAACAAGCAUCUGAAUUUAUAAACUAGUCAGCCUUAAUUGCCUGUGCAAAUAAAAUCAUAAACUCCCACUCA